CUUGUACUCCCUCCAUCUGAAAUUACUUGUCGUAGAAAUGGAUGUAUCUAGACGUUUUUUUAGUUCUAGACACAUCCAUUUCUAUUUAUUUCAGCGACAAGUAAUUCCAGAUGGAAGGGGUACAAC
rfam:Triticum urartu cultivar G1812 contig1213073, whole genome shotgun sequence.